rnacentral:tRNA from 1 species
UGCCCCCGUAGCUCAGCUGGAUAGAGCAACGGAUUCCUAAUCCGUAGGUCGGACGUUCGAGUCGUCUCGGGGUAA